rnacentral:rRNA from 1 species
UACGUAGGGGGCAAGCGUUGUCCGGAAUUAUUGGGCGUAAAGAGCGCGUAGGCGGUCCGAUAAGUCGGCUGUGAAAGUCAGGGGCUCAACCCUUGGAAGCCGGCCGAUACUGUCGGACUAGAGUCCGGAAGAGGCGAGUGGAAUUCCCGGUGUAGCGGUGAAAAUGCGCAGAUAUCGGGAGGAACACCAAGGCGAAGGCAGCUCGCUGGGACGGUACUGACGCUGAGGCG